GACGAACGCUGGCGGCGUGCUUAACACAUGCAAGUCGAGCGAAGCAGUGGAGUAGCUUGCUACAAAACUGACUUAGCGGCGGACGGGUGAGUAACGCGUGGGCAACCUGCCUUACACAGGGGGGACAACACUGGGAAACUGGUGCUAAUACCGCAUGACAUUGACCUUCGGCAUCGGAGGUUAAUUAAAGGAGAAAUCCGGUGUAAGAUGGGCCCGCGUACGAUUAGCUAGUUGGUGAGGUAAUGGCUCACCAAGGCGACGAUCGUUAGCCGAACUGAGAGGUUGAUCGGCCACAUUGGGACUGAGACACGGCCCAGACUCCUACGGGAGGCUG
rnacentral:rRNA from 1 species